UGCUCACAUGAUAUAGAUGAAUUACAGUGGCAUAUUGAGGUCAAAACAUAUAAUUUACAAAACCUAGAAGAUCGGGUUGCUGAUGCAGAUGCACUGAACAAGAAAUUACAGGAAGAAAUAAACUUAAUCAGGAAUCUUGAAGAUCAACUAGAAGAAAAACUGGAUUUGGAAUACAACAUCAUUAAUGAUAUUGUACCAAAUCAAAAAGAGAUGACUGAAAUCUUUAAUAAAGCUAAUUCGGACCUUAAUGAAACACAGCAGGAAUUUGAUGAUACUCGUGCAAAUGCAGAGUUUGAACAAAAAUUGUUCAGUGAGGAACUUCUCGCAAUCGAAAGCAAAACAGCAGAUCUCCACAAAGACUUGAUCAAUGCCAAGGAUCUCUUUGAUAUAUAUACUACUCAGGAGAAUGAAAUUCAGAAGCAACUUCUAGAAGCA